CCCACAUCAUCUGGAUCCUGUUCAAGGACUUCUGAAUAGUGGGAAAUUUUGUGAGUUUGUAUUCCUGUGUGGUAAACUUCCUCUCUAAGGUCUGCCUAAGAAUUAGGGGGUGAUCCUGAGAGAAUUUGGAAAUUUCUCAGUAUCCAAGGCAAGGCCAUACGGUACUUCUAUAGCAUUAAAACCAAAACAACUUCACCCAAGGGAGGUGUCAUUUGCAUAUAGCAAUCUGUACCCACAAGAAGUUUUGUCCCACUGCCCAUGUCAGCUCUGCAGCCCCAACCACAUUUUGAGUUCCUCCAAGCUUUUGCUCUAGACUCGACUGGGAAGGGAUGUCGUCAAGGAGCCAAGCUGCAACUACUUUCCCUUCUUCUCAUCCAGGUGGUGGGAUUUCCAUUGCAGAAGGCAUGUUGUUGAAUAUCUGAGGGGAUGGGAAGGCACCUAUCCCACAAGAGGCAGUGCUGGAAAGAAAGAAGAAAAGAAGGAAAGAAAGAAGGAAAGUAGGAAGGAAGGAACGAAGGAA